CAAUAGCGUAUAUUAAAGUUGUUGCAGUUAAAAAGCUCGUAGUUGGAUUUGUGGCGUGCGGUGUGUUCCGGGCACUUGUUGUCUAAGUAACCUGCCGCUGCCAUCCUUGGGUGGAACCUGUGUGGCAUUAGGUUGUCGUGCAGGGGAUGCCCAUCAUUUACUGUGAAAAAAUUAGAGUGUUCAAAGCAGGCUUAUGCCGUUGAAUAUAUUAGCAUGGAAUAAUGAGAUAGGACUUUUUUGCUAUUUUGUUGGUUUGCGCAAAGAGGUAAUGAUUAAUAGGGACAGUUGGGGGUAUUCGUAUUCCAUUGUCAGAGGUGAAAUUCUUGGAUUUUUGGAAGACGAACUACUGCGAAAGCAUUUACCAAGGAUGUUUUCAUUAA
rnacentral:rRNA from 1 species